GUGUGAGGUCCUUUAAGACAGUUACCUGGCAUUGUCUUCAGCCUGCAUCUGUGGGGAGCUCUAUUUUGAUUAUUUGUCUUCUGUUUCAGUCUCUCCGGAGCUGACGUCAUACUUACAGUAUCAGAGGAAUUGUGCAGCAAUAAAUCCAGGGCUGUGCCAUUCCCAUCCUCUCUUUGGUAAGUACAGUUUAAGGUUAUGGAGACCGUCCUUGCUCUCUUGCUGUCUGCUCCGUACUGAACAUACACCCUUCAGAACCACAGGUUUUCAGAAGAUGGGGUGGUGAAAUGAGUGAUCUCAUGGAAGAAAACUGCAAGAAAAACUAUUCUUCCCAGGAAACAUCUGCAGAAAAAAGUGUGUCUCCUGCUAAGGACUGCUCAGUAAGACACAAAAAAUUGAUGAAGCUAAAGAACAAAACCCAUAAUUCUGCCUCUUACAUGGCAACUUGCAAACUCCAUGCUGCUGUACCAGAGUCACGUGUUCAGAGUCAUGAUUGUUCCAUCUCCGGUCAGGAUGCACAGUCGGUAAAAGGAAUACUUGAUUAGUAGUUAGACAAGAAAACAUUUUAA
rnacentral:lncRNA from 12 species